GCAAUCCAAUUGAAAAGUGACACCUCAUUUCCGCUCGCCUUCAAUGAAUCUGAACGUCCGUUCGUCACGACAUUAGCCGAUAAAGCGAUGAUUAAUGCAUAAAUUCCUUAUCGAAACGCAACUACGUCACGCAGUUUUCUUGUGCGGAGCACAGUUCAUAUUUAGGGAAGUUCGGCGCUUGUUGUUAACGACCACUCUAAGUGGAGCAACUGAUGUCUAGUAAAUGAUACAGAGAAAAAGAGAGAGCACGAGGUCACUGCAAAAACUCGAUGCACGCGCUGUAAACGCUCCAGUUGAAAGAAGUAGUACCAGCCAACGCACGCUACAAUGUCAUCGUUGCGUUUGAGCAACACGCCGCCUAAUUAAUUUCUGCCUCGUCCGCUGCCUCUAUGCUGCUAAAUUCUUGUGACAGUCAGUGUAUUUGCGCAAUUGAUAGCAGUCACGAGUUACCAAUAUGGCCGUAAUAUUUGUGCGUUUAUUAUGUGCUCCUCGACCGUCGUUCUAGGCUUUGCACUCGCAAAAAAAACAGGACAAAGGAUCUGAAGAGUGUUCUAUCGGGUAUAUUGGGGGGUCUCCGUAUCGUGCGAAUCCAGACUACGCGUUAUUACUCAUGGUAAACGCGAUCAAACUGAAGACAAGUUGCAAGGACAGAAGAAAGAGAGGAUUCUACUUAGAUACUUAGCAUAUAAAGAGUAACUCAGCAGGAAUGGAAUCAAAAAGUGAAAAUGUCACUUCUGCACCCAAAAGCAAUGGUAACCCUGUUGAUGAUGAAAAAGAAGAGGGUGAAUUAUCAAUGGAUGAUGUCAGUUCAGUAGAAGACACACCUAUCCAAAGAAACCAUUAUAAUAGAUAUCAGUCGAUAUCUAGAAAUUUUACCAGGACGAUACCAAAUCUAUCCGAUUCGGAGAGUAAACUAAAAUAUUUGUAUAUAGAUGCUGGAAAAGAAAAUCAACGUCGUCACUAUUACCAUCACCAUCACCAUUACAGAAAUCAUCGGUCACAAUCUCCAGUAUAUAGAAAAGCUAUUAAUCCAUUUUAUAGCACCUUACAAGAGAAAAAUAUAUCUAAAACUAUACGCCCGUCUGAUGAUUUGAAAGAAAUAUCCAGUGAUACUGACAUUGAUAUGACUCUGGUUGGUUUUUCAAAAAAAACUCUUAAAAAGCCAAAACAUAAAAAGAAAAAGCAUGAACCUGAACCACUCUCACUUUCUGAAAGUGAAUUAUCAGACUUAGGAUCAUCAAAUUUAGACACAGCAUAUAGACAUAGGAAAAGUUUAUCUAAAACGCACAACACAUCUAAACCAUUAAAAAAAAAUAUCUCUAAAACUCGAAGUUCAACUAAACAUAAUCGUUCAUCAAAAUUGCAUAAUGGAAUAGAAACACCAUCACCAAUGCAAGUUCCUGAAAAUGUGACAAACUUACUUAAAAGAGUCAAGAAACAUGAUCCGACAAAUGACUCCAAGAGCAAGUCAAAGAGCUCUUCUCUAAGAGAUAAGCUAAAUAUUGAAAACAAAAAUGAAAGAACUGAAACUACUGAGUGCAGGUACAAGAAUAAUACAGUUGACAAUGCCACUUCAUCAAUUGAAAAAAAUAAUUCUGUAAAUAAUAAAACUCUUUUAGUUGAAAAAGAAAAUAUCUCUCUUAACAUUUGCGAAAAAAAAAUAAAACAACAAACAGACUCGCAAAUUGAAGAAAGUAAUCAAAAUAAAACAUCAGAACAGGAAACCAACAACUAUAAUUUUAAAGAAAAAAGUUUUUCUAAUAAAGUAUUUUCUCAUCCUGAUGUAGACAAGACUAUUAACUCAUCACUGAGAGAUUUAGACCCGGAGCCACUAGAUGCCUCAACUAAUGAAGAGCAUCAAUUACCUAAUUUUUGUAUUGAUGAAAAUGAUGAAGAUAUGCAUCUACGAAUGGAGGCAUUAAAAUCGGCUAUAAUGAAAAAACAUAACACUCGGGUUCUCAAGGGCAGCAAAAAAAACAAAAAAUUAGUUAAUGAAAAAUUACGAAAUAUUCCAAGUCCUAAUUUUAUUGAUGAUUUUCCAUUACUGGUAGAAAUGUGUGACCCACAUUCUCUUGAAAGUCAACAGCAAAAAGAUAGUUACUUUAGCGAGGAUAUGGAACUUGAUUCAGAUAUGGAUCUCUCUGAUUUAGAAUCUCCAUAUUCUCCAUCAGAUGAAAUAAACUCAAGUGAACUUAAACCAGUUAUUUCUGAUGUAUCAAGUAAUUCAAAAGUAAACUACAUUCAAGAUUCAAGCAAACAUAAAAUCUCAAAUUUCAAUGAGUCUAGACCUUAUUCUCCAUCUGAUUCAACAGUAUAUGAUCCUGAACUACCAGGAGUUCAUUUUGAAAACGAUCCAGCACCACUAUCGUCUCAACCACCACUUCCAGCCCCACCAAUUCCGCCUUUUUUGACUUCUCAGACAAUGCUUCUUGGUUGCAAUGUAGCUAGAAACCCGUUUGUUGAACCUCUUCAAUUUUUAUCACAGACAGAUAAAAAUUACGCAAAUUCCAACCAGCCAUCUAAUUUAAUGAUGUUUACAAAUAACUCUCAAACACUCAAUUUUUCCAAAAACACAAUUCUUACUUCCACUGCUACUGCCUCUAGCAAUGUUCCUCUUUUGACUUCAUCACUAGGAAAUUUACCUCAAAUGUCACAGAGUAAACUAAUAAACAUAUCAUCUGAAAUUAUGGAUAUGGAAACUGAUUUGGAUGGAAGUCCAUUAGUUCCUAUGGAUGUAAAGAAUAGUAAUAAUUUUGCAGAAUGGCAAAUUGCAAAAAAUUUAUCCCAGCCAGUAUUUAUUUCAGAUGAAUCUAAAUCUGAUUCAAUUCACGCUCCUGUUUUGUGCAAUAUAAAUCAUAAUCUAAUUCCUGAUACAGUACAACGUGCUAGUAAUAUACAAAGAAUACUUGAUCCAAAAAAAUUACAAGCUAAAUUAUCACCUGUAACAAAUAAUGAAGCUUCUUUCAAAAAAGUCGACAUGCAAUUAGUAUCACCUCAACCAGCUGUUAUGAGAACCAAUUUUGUGCCUAUUCAAAUUAUUCCACCAACAAAACAAAAAGUGGCUAGUUCUACAGCACAAAUUUUCAAUGAUGAGAACACUAAUUUAAGAAAACGUAAAGCAGAUAAUUUGGUUUCUAAUCUUCAUGAGGAUCAGAUAAAAAAAAUUAAAAAUAUCGAAACUAAAAUUGAAGAUGAUAAAAUUGUGCAAAAUAAAGAAUCUCUUGAUAAAAGUACCAACGAUGAUGACGAGGAAGAACUUAGGGAAUUACUAAUUGCAAGCUUGAAAAAAAAGAAUAACACUAUGUCCGCUUCAUGUAUCGAAGGAACAGAAAAAAGUGAAAAAAUAUUUCGUUCUAAAGCUACUAAAUCAAAGACAAAUGCAACGGUGUUCGAAGGAUUAUCUCCAACUUCCUUAGAAUCCAACUCAGAACCAUGUUACACUCGAGAGAAAUUGACAUCAAGUCCAACAACAGAGAAUUUCAAAGAAAUUAAAAAUAACGUUAAAAUUUCGAAUGAUGCUCGGGAAGCAAUCAUUUCAGCUUGCAAUAGAAUUGAACAAAAUAAUUUAAUCAUCACAUUUAGUGACGAAACCGAAAGUGACUCAGAUAACAAUGAAAAUGCUAUGUUAGACAAUACAUCUGGUAAAACUGAUAUAGAAAAAAGCGUGGCCGAAUUUUUGAAAAGCGCUCGGCAAAAGCACGAAGCAGCAACAGCUGCAAAUAAUAAUGUGUCAGUUCAGAAAGCUCCUGUGAAUGCGGAUUCGAAGCAUGAACCAGCAAAAACAGCUGCUAGUAACAAAAAAAUCCCUUCAAUCAAAAAAAUCCCCACUAAUACGAAUCCGAAUGCAACAAAAAAUACACUGACAAAUUCCCCAGUACAUAUAAGAUUUUGGCACUCAUCUUCUAAAGUUAAUAUACUUGAUCAUCUCGGUGAUAACGAUUCGGAGAUCAAACCAUCGAAUGUAUCGACACAGAAGACAACAGUCACAAGUGUUUAUUCUAAUCCAGCUGAUAUUGGAAAUAUUAAUUCAUUUCCUGAAAAAAUAAGUGUACCUGUGGUAUCAAAAAAUAUGAAUUUAGCUAAAAAUAUUGAAAAAGUAGAAAAAAAUGUUAAUAGUUCAACUAAGAAUGUCGAGAAAGUAUCCAAUAAUAUUUCUAAACCAACGAUUAUUUCACAAGUUGAAAGCAAAAAUUCCAAACUAAGUACAGUAUCAUCUGUUUCCACGAAAGUUAGCAAGACACAGACUGUAGCAAAUUCAAUAUCAAAAACUAAGACUUUGAUUUCAUUAAAAGAAGUUAAGAAGGAUCUUACACCACAAGCACUUGUAACUACACCACAGGUUGUAAAACAUUUGCCAGCCUCUAAACAAGAAGAAUAUAGACGUCUAAAAUUAAAGCUAAUUGAAAUGGAGCGUAAGAAAAAAUUAAAAGCUUCUACAGAUACCUCGACAAAAAAUUCAAGUAUUGCUACACCAGCUUCGAGCUCACGAAUUUCGACAACUACGACCACUCUUCCCACUACUACAGCUUCUACAAUUGUUACAACUCGUGCUGCAGUUACUAAUGCAAGUGUAACGAAGUCAUCAAUAACUACUAAUGAAGCUUCAAAACCAACAGUUCCAAUUAAUAAACAAAUUAACAAAACCCCUGGUGAGAUAAUAACGCGAACUAAGAUCGUGCACGUACCGAAACCUGUUAGUCCGCGAGUUGCAAAUAACUCUCAAAAUAUUGCAAGUUGUAAUAAACAACCUGACGAAAACACAAAAUCAACUGAUCCACAAGUGCAAACAAAGGGUACAGUGCAGUGUAAAAAGCUGAAAAUACUCACUCGUGAGCAAAUAAGUCAAAAAAUAACACAAAUUCAAAAUAAAAUAAAAGAUAAACAGGUACAAAUGGAUGAUUUAAAUGAUUCCAAAGCUUGGAACUCGCCUAAAAAAAAGAAAACAGAAAACAUCGAAUCAAACUUAGAUGAAUUCAAACAAACUGUUAGUGAUGAGGUCCAAAAAUUAGCUGUUCUUCCUAUUGAUAAGCAAAAAAGCAUGCUAGCUAAAGCAGAAGAAGACUUAGUUUCAGAAAGGCAUACUGUACUGGACAAAUUAACCGAAAUAUCAGGUUUCCUUCGCCAGUGGGAAAUAGAGCGAGAUUUAAAAAGUCUCUAUAGUCAAGAUGUUAAAAAUUUGCGUGAGCAGCUCAGGCUUGCUGAAAUGAAAAUUGUACAACAGCAAGAGAAAAUGAAUACAUUAAGUCCAAAAAUAUCUGAAUUCCAAACAAAAAUUAACACUGGAAGAAAAGAAUGUUUCAGACUUUCUAAAAUAUGCAAUAGUAUUGGGCACAAGAUUGUUGGACCAGAAUACAAAGUUCCUACUGCGGCAGCAGAACUGCUAAAUAAUCGUUUAAGUGAAGUUGUUAAACAUACUGUUAGGCUACGUAAAAAAAAGAAUAGCAGUGAAACACUACAAACGGGUAAUUAUACAGAAAAAAGUGUUAAAAAAUCGAAUAAGUCCAUAAACCAUAGCUUAAAUCGUAAAAAUUUAGUUAGCAAAAAAAGUAACAACGUUACCGUUAAGACUGAAGAAUCAGAAACGGAAUUUAUAAAAAAUGACGAUUCUGGAAAUAGUGAAACUGAAAAAAUAACGUCAAAUAGUGAUAAAUCAAUUUUGAAUCGUUCGGAAAUUUCAAAUUCUAAUGCUCUCUGUGAGAUUGACUCACAGGCGGAGUCAAGUACAUCAGAUUUAAAAUUAAAAAGAAAAAAUAUUGCCAAAUCUUACGGAAAUGCUAAAAUUAGAAAGGUUUUAAAUUCUAAAAUUUUAAACAAUUCAGAAAAUUCAAAUAAAUGUUCAUCUUCUAACGACGUUACUACAACUUUAAACAAUCAUUCGGAAAUUAAUGGUUUGUCCACAAUUGAAAACGGUGAUCUUUCGGUAAUAAAAAUUAAUACUAAUGAAGGCGAAAAUAUAGCGUCUAGAGAAUCGCCACAACAGAUAUCUAAUAUAACAGUCGAGUGUUCAAACGCGGUUGAAAAGGUAGACAAAAAUAUCGAAAGUACAACUGCUAAAGAAACAACAAUUAUCAGUGCAAAACAAGUAAACGCCGAUAAUAUAUCCAAUUUAGAGAAGGCAAAUGACAUUGAAAUGAAUGAGUGUUCUAGUGAUUUCGUUGAAGUUAAUAGUAGCUGCAAUAACUCUAAGAUGAGCCCACAUGAAACCAAUUCAAGUGCAAUAGAAUGUUUGGAAUCAGAAGAAAAUUCAGUUUCUUUAUCAUCAAACUCAGCCAAUGAAUUUGUCACAGGGGGACAGGUUGACCUACAUUUGCCUAAAGCUGUUGAUGCUUUAGAAACUGAAAUUGAAACAAAUUUGAAAAAGAAUUGCACAUCAUCAAAAGCAAAUAUUGAAAGUAAUGGGGAAAAGUCUGUAGAGAUUUCUGAUACAGUCAUGAAUAAUUCAGUGGUGGUACCUGACCCGAUAGAGUUGAUGAUUAAUAAACCUCAAAGUUGUACUGAGAAGAAUGUUGAUGUCAGUCUAAGCCAAAAAAAUAGUGUGCCUGGACCAAGUACAAAGGCAUUGUGUUGUGACGAGUCUUCAAAGUUGCCUAUAUUCUCUGAAACUGUCAAUUCAGUAGGAGAGAAAAAAUAUGUGUUUCGGCCUUAUGAAUCGGUCUUAAAACAUAUAAAUUUAACGAGCAAUAUGGUGAAUGGAAUCCUGUGUCCCUUCGAGCUCAUGGGCACGUGCAACGACGAAGAGUGUCCUAACAUUCAUCAAUCCAGAAAGCAGUGAUAAAAUUGUUUAAGAUGAAGAAUGAAGGCGUUAUUUUUCCGUAAGGUGGUUCUAUCUAAUAGAUGGGCUAUAUCAUCCUUUGAGCAAGAUAUUUCAAGACGACCCAUUCUUUCUAUUGUGAAGAUUGUUUUGUAUAGUUCCAAUAUUGUUUGUGCUACAUCAUUGAAGAUUGGUAAGUGAUCUUCGUAACUCAUGCAGGAUAUAAUUUUGCUUUUUUAAGUCAAACUCGAAAUUUUGUUUAAAGUUUUUUUCGAUAAUCCUUGCAUUAUUUUAAUUUUUACUAUGUCGGUGGCAUUUUUUCUCAUAUUUUUAAGUUAUUGGUAUACAUAAUUUUAAAAAACAAUAGCGUAUUUUUACCCACUAUACUUAAGUAAAAAAAUUUGAUUAAUUAUAAGGUAGGAAAGUUUACCUGUGUUAUAUGUACAUAAAAAUGUAAAAAAAAGUUGAAGAUUUUUAUACUCAAGUGGCUGCAGAAGAUAAUCAACGAGUCCAAAUGCGAAGUGUAUAAGUGAAUAUUAAUAAAAAAAAGUUUACUAAUUUUUUAAAAA